rnacentral:lncRNA from 1 species
AAAAUAUAUAAUAUUUACUAGAUCUCUUUAAUUAAAUUGAAUUAAAUUAUAUUGGGUUUUUUAAUUCUUAAUUGCUAAAUUUUAUUUGUCAAGAUCAUAAUCAACUAUGCUAAAUUUAUUACUAUAUUUCAAUCACUUGUUUGAAUUAACCGUCCAGAUAUUGUUAGCGCAGGAGAUGCUGACAAUAUCCAUGUCCUGAGAUCCACUUGUGGUCCGCGAAUGCGGGACUUUCAAAACAUAAUUUUAAAAUGUCAAAAUUACUGAUUCUCAUCUAGAACAAUUUCUCCGAUUAGCUACCACGUAAACAGUUCUUGACAUUGAAUUAUUAAUAAAAAUUAAACAGAAUCAAUUUUAUUAUUAACUGAAUAUUUCUUCCUUCUAUAGCUAUUGUAUUGUAAUAAAAUUUGCUUAUAAAUGCAAUUGAUCUCAUUCUUUUAAACGAUGCUUACAGUCAGCAGAAUUGACCACAUGGAAACGCUUCGGCUUUCCACCCUAAAGGACCCAGCUUCGAUUCUCGAAUCCCAUCACUUAGAAAUAUUUAUCAUGGGAUCCGGACGUGACUCAUCGAUCCUCUUCCUCCACAAUUCGGUUGACUCUUCCUUAGAGAUUGGCAACCCGUGGAAAGGCUUGUUUCGCCCUGCCACUUAGCACUCAUACUAAGUGGAAAAGUUGCAUCAUCUGUUGUCAAAAGAAGGCCCUUACGUUUACAAAACUGUUACAUGGAAUCAAAUUCAGAAACGAUUCUUAAAGGAAAUAUUUCCUAAAUCGAAAAAUUAAAAAAGUCGCAUUAUAGUAAAAUGGAUGGAAAAACACGAAGUGUUUUUGUUCAGCAAAUUUUCUCUUAGAUAUUGCUUCUGAAUUCGAGCCUAAAAAUAGUAAACCUAUAUAAUACUUGUUUAUUGUAUGGCCUAGAC